CCACGAUGUUGAUACACUAUGUCAAAGGGUUCCAUGUGGAAAAUUAACUGGGAACCCAUGUAUUAGGCUAUUGAAAGCUGUGUUACCUACUCUAUUUUUAGUUUUUCACAAGGUCUCACAGACAAAUAGUAUUGAGCCCCUAGAAAAUAUGGACUUUUCCUCCUAAACUUAGGAUCUACACAUUUUAUGUGACUAAAUUAUUAGUAAGUCACUUACAGUUUCUCAUCAUAGCCCACCCCUAGCAUAAAGUGUCCACUUAAAAUGUUUGUUGGUAUGAGAACAUAUUCU